CCGUUCGAUAGCUCAGUUGGCAGAGCGGUGGACUGUAGAUCCAUAAGGUCGCUGGUUCGACUGCCGGCUCGACGGA